rnacentral:lncRNA from 1 species
AACAAAAAAAUCUCCUCAUCCCUUCGCGGCUGCCGCAAAGCGAAUGAGAUCCUGGAAAAAAAUAAACGCGGGGACGUUGAAAAUGGUGAUCAAAAAUGAACAGCGAUCGUAAGAAAAUGGGAUAUUCGUAUUCCUGGGAAAAAAACGAGGAAAUUUUUUGCUUGCGAAAAUUUCUUUGGAAUAACAGUUUCCGAGUAUGUGUCCCGGAUUCACCAAUCGUCUCGCAGCUCGCCGGACAGAAACCGCCUUUUUUAGUCAUGUGACGGGCUACCGAUUGGCGGUAAACUUCAAAUCCCCGUAUCUCGAUAACCAUGAAUACCUAUUUCAAAGACCGUGCGAAUUGGUCUCAAAAUUUGGUGAAAACUGAAUUGGUUUUCUGCUUUUUUACACCCGCUCGUCGAGAAAACUACGCUGUGGAUGUUUUUGCUCGCCGGAAGCCGCGAUCGGCAUACAAAGUGUUCCUCCUCGAACGGACUUUGGAUGCAUGCAGAAAAUGCCCAUGCGUGUGUACGUUUGGUUUACUGGACACCUAUUAGCUGGGUAUUGAUCAUGAUUCGCAGAGAACUACCUGCGUGCAUCGUGUCAAAAGGAUCACGCGCGUAUGUAUUAAUUGGACAAAUAUAUUAAUACACAUUAUGUAAACGGAUGAUUACAUGCCGUCUGCUGCACCACCGGACGUCCACCGUCACAGUCGCGUAAUUCGAGUCUUCGUUAGCAACAGGGAUAAUUUGUGACGUCAGUUAAUGGUGAACGAGAGACAAGAAUUUCACUUGAAGGCGAUCAAAUACAUCCCAGAACUUUGGUUUGGGUGUAAAAAUUUUGCUGAAAUUUUCCUACAAAUACGAAUUGUUGUCAACUUUUCUGAGUGUUUGUGAAAUGAAUCAAAAAAUAAAUAUCAAGAUU